CGAUGAUUCCAGAUGGAAAAAAUGGAAAUGCUUCAUCCAUGUGCUAGUUCAGCCUGUGAGAUGCUGGUGAGCCCACCUCCAGGCACUCACGGACUCCCCACCCAUUGAGUGUGGCCUGGAUUUAGUGACUCAAUCAAACGUGACAGAGUGCUGGGGUGUCAUUUUCAAGACUGGGUUAUGUGAAGACUGCAGCCUCCAUCUGGGGUGCUCUCUCUUGGAUUGCUUGCUCAGGGAUGUGGGGAGAGCUGCUGUGCUGGGAGGCUGCCCAUGUGAGUUGACUUGGAUGUGAACCUUCUGUGGCCUGCCAAUAGCCACGUGUUUGUGUGGACACUGCUGUCAUUUCUCUUGGGAAGAUACUGAGGAGUCAGAUUGCUGGAUCCCGUGAAGAAUGUGCACCUGGGAUUGGCUCUUGCUUCCUAAGGAACCUCAAAAAAGCUGCAACCUAUUGGAGACUUUUGAUUCAGCAUCAAGGAUAUGCGUGAGACUUUGGUUCUUUUCUGUUGGGACACAGUUGAUUCUGACUGUCUUAAAGUUAGGCUUUUCUAAAGAUUUAGACUAAUAAAUUAUUUGAAUGGGACAA
rnacentral:lncRNA from 1 species